UGUGUGUGUGUGUUUAUGUAUUAUUAGUAUGGAGAGCAGUAGUGUUGAAGUCCUUCGUGUGAGUGGUCCAGAUAAGUAUCAGUUACAUUUACACGAGUCUUGUGUACUGUCACUCAAGUUUGCUCACAGUGGUAAAUGGUUUAUAACUACAGGAAAGGAUAAUCUACUAAAUGCAUGGAGAACACCUUAUGGUGCUAGUAUAUUCCAGAUGUCUGAAAGCAGUAGUGUUUUAAGCUGUGACAUAUCAGUUGACGAUCGUUUUAUUGUUACUGGAUCUGGAGACAAGAAGGCUACAGUGUAUGAAGUUAUACUAUGAGUAGGUGAUAUUUGACUUGUAAUGAAUAAUGCAAUCUACACUUGAGUUUAGUCUCUUUGUUACAAGUACUGACUACAAAACUCUCAUGUAAUAUAAAAUCUCUAAUAAUUCCAGUUAAGAUAUUGUUUGUCAUGUUUGCUAU
rnacentral:lncRNA from 1 species